rnacentral:rRNA from 1 species
GACGAACGCUGGCGGCGUGCUUAACACAUGCAAGUCGAACGGAAAGGCCUCUUUCGGGGGGUACUCGAGUGGCGAACGGGUGAGUAACACGUGAGUAACCUGCCCUUGCCUUUGGGGUAACUUCAGGAAACUGGGGCGAAUACAGGAUAGGAGCUCCUGCUGCAUGGUGGGGGUUGGAAAGUUUCGGCGGUUGGGGAUGGACUCGCGGCUUAUCGGCUUGUUGGUGGGGUAGUGGCUUACCAAGGCGUUGACGGGUAGCCGGCCUGAGGGGGUGAGCGGCCACAUUGGGACUGAGAGACGGCCCAGACGCCGAAGGGAGGCAGAUGGGCGGAAGAUUGCACAAGGGGUGCAGGGCGGAUGCAGCAGGGCUGUGGGCUGGAUGACGGUCUUCGGGUUGUGAACCGCUUUCGCUCAUAACGAAGCUUUGUGUGACGGUAGUGGGUAAAGAAGCACCGGCUAACUACGUG